rnacentral:sRNA from 5 species
AUUCUGCCCAUGCGGGGAAGGAUGAGAAGCUUCAACCAAGGUUCGACUUGAGCGCCAGCGAGAGAGCGUUGCCGCAGGCAACGACCCGAAGGGCGAAGCGCGCAGCGCUGAGUAAUCCUUCCCCCACCACCA